rnacentral:rRNA from 1 species
GACACACGGCGGGUGCUAACGUCCGUCGUGAAGAGGGAAACAACCCAGACCGCCAGCUAAGGUCCCAAAGUCAUGGUUAAGUGGGAAACGAUGUGGGAAGGCCCAGACAGCCAGGAUGUUGGCUUAGAAGCAGCCAUCAUUUAAAGAAAGCGUAAUAGCUCACUGGUCGAGUCGGCCUGCGCGGAAGAUGUAACGGGGCUAAACCAUGCACCGAAGCUGCGGCAGCGACACUAUGUGUUGUUGGGUAGGGGAGCGUUCUGUAAGCCUGUGAAGGUGUACUGUGAGGUAUGCUGGAGGUAUCAGAAGUGCGAAUGCUGACAUAAGUAACGAUAAAGCGGGUGAAAAGCCCGCUCGCCGGAAGACCAAGGGUUCCUGUCCAACGUUAAUCGGGGCAGGGUGAGUCGACCCCUAAGGCGAGGCCGAAAGGCGUAGUCGAUGGGAAACAGGUUAAUAUUCCUGUACUUGGUGUUACUGCGAAGGGGGGACGGAGAAGGCUAUGUUGGCCGGGCGACGGUUGUCCCGGUUUAAGCGUGUAGGCUGGUUUUCCAGGCAAAUCCGGAAAAUCAAGGCUGAGGCGUGAUGACGAGGCACUACGGUGCUGAAGCAACAAAUGCCCUGCUUCCAGGAAAAGCCUCUAAGCAUCAGGUAACAUCAAAUCGUACCCCAAACCGACACAGGUGGUCAGGUAGAGAAUACCAAGGCGCUUGAGAGAACUCGGGUGAAGGAACUAGGCAAAAUGGUGCCGUAACUUCGGGAGAAGGCACGCUGAUAUGUAGGUGAAGCGACUUGCUCGUGGAGCUGAAAUCAGUCGAAGAUACCAGCUGGCUGCAACUGUUUAUUAAAAACACAGCACUGUGCAAACACGAAAGUGGACGUAUACGGUGUGACGCCUGCCCGGUGCCGGAAGGUUAAUUGAUGGGGUUAGCGGUAACGCGAAGCUCUUGAUCGAAGCCCCGGUAAACGGCGGCCGUAACUAUAACGGUCCUAAGGUAGCGAAAUUCCUUGUCGGGUAAGUUCCGACCUGCACGAAUGGCGUAAUGAUGGCCAGGCUGUCUCCACCCGAGACUCAGUGAAAUUGAACUCGCUGUGAAGAUGCAGUGUACCCGCGGCAAGACGGAAAGACCCCGUGAACCUUUACUAUAGCUUGACACUGAACAUUGAGCCUUGAUGUGUAGGAUAGGUGGGAGGCUUUGAAGUGUGGACGCCAGUCUGCAUGGAGCCGACCUUGAAAUACCACCCUUUAAUGUUUGAUGUUCUAACGUUGGCCCGUUAUCCGGGUUGCGGACAGUGUCUGGUGGGUAGUUUGACUGGGGCGGUCUCCUCCUAAAGAGUAACGGAGGAGCACGAAGGUUGGCUAAUCCUGGUCGGACAUCAGGAGGUUAGUGCAAUGGCAUAAGCCAGCUUGACUGCGAGCGUGACGGCGCGAGCAGGUGCGAAAGCAGGUCAUAGUGAUCCGGUGGUUCUGAAUGGAAGGGCCAUCGCUCAACGGAUAAAAGGUACUCCGGGGAUAACAGGCUGAUACCGCCCAAGAGUUCAUAUCGACGGCGGUGUUUGGCACCUCGAUGUCGGCUCAUCACAUCCUGGGGCUGAAGUAGGUCCCAAGGGUAUGGCUGUUCGCCAUUUAAAGUGGUACGCGAGCUGGGUUUAGAACGUCGUGAGACAGUUCGGUCCCUAUCUGCCGUGGGCGCUGGAGAACUGAGGGGGGCUGCUCCUAGUACGAGAGGACCGGAGUGGACGCAUCACUGGUGUUCGGGUUGUCAUGCCAAUGGCACUGCCCGGUAGCUAAAUGCGGAAGAGAUAAGUGCUGAAAGCAUCUAAGCACGAAACUUGCCCCGAGAUGAGUUCUCCCUGACUCCUUGAGAGUCCUGAAGGAACGUUGAAGACGACGACGUUGAUAGGCCGGGUGUGUAAGCGCAGCGAUGCGUUGAGCUAACCGGUACUAAUGAGCCGUGAGGCUUAACCUUACAACGCCGAAG